UGCCUACGGGAGGCAGCAGUGGGGAAUAUUGGGCAAUGGGCGCAAGCCUGACCCAGCAACGCCGCGUGAAGGAAGAAGGCUUUCGGGUUGUAAACUUCUUUUCUCAGGGACGAAGAAAGUGACGGUACCUGAGGAAUAAGCCACGGCUAACUCCGUGCCAGCAGCCGCGGUAAUACGGAGGAUGCGAGCGUUAUCCGGAUUUAUUGGGUUUAAAGGGUGCGUAGGCGGACAGUCAAGUCAGCGGUAAAAAUGCGGUGCUCAACGCCGUACAGCCGUUGAAACUGGCAGUCUUGAGUGGGCGAGAA
rnacentral:rRNA from 1 species